AUGCGGAGAGCUCUCCUGGUGGACGGCCGGGCCUGGGCGGGAGGCCUCGGUGCCCUCAGCCCAUGGGGCGGCUGCAGCUGCAGAGCAGAGGACGUGUCUUUAGCCAGCUGGCGGGCUGAGCCCCAGGGGCGCAGGGCCCAGUGGGUGGAUGGGGUGGCAUCCUGGGGGCUGUCGCAGCCUCUGACCUCCCCUGUGGUCUGCACACACACCAAGCUGGUGGCCCCCCGUUCUGUGGUUCCUCUCGGGGAGCUCCCACACCAGGGGGGCCCGUCUUUGUGGUGGCAGGGCCAACCCACCCUGACCCCCAAGCCAGGCCGGGCUCCAUGGACUGCAACGCCUUCCUCACCCCACUGCUCCUGGCCCGGGCCAACCUGCAGCGGGCACCCCGGGCACUGUGCUCCGUCAGCCGCUCAGACUCCCCCAGCUUUUUCCAUUGCCCCCGCCUCACCCAGCCUGGGCCCAGCGAGGGGGCACCUUCCAGACAGGCUUUUGGAUGAAAUGAGGAGAAAAACAAACUUCAGGCUGAAGACGACAACGCGGGGCGUCCCUCACUCACGGACGCUGCAGCUGCCACGCCCUCACCGAGGCCCGGCCCGGGGGCACCCAGCGGCAGGCCAGGUGGACCCACGCUGGCGACAGCCUGGUGGGAAAGCUGGGUCUAGAAGGACAAAGGUGGGCAGUAGCCGGCGUGUAAACAGAGGGGGUGACCGAGAGGGUGGGGAGGCAGCGGGGGCGGGAAGCCCAAGAUCUGGGGUGAGAGGGACGGACGCAGCCGCCGGGGAGGGUCACAGCCCCACUGUCCCCAAGCCCAGCUCCAGCCCCGCCUUCCACCAGCCACCCUGCGGACUGCCCCCCCUCUCUGCCAUCCUGCGCCUUCUGCACCUGGGGGUCCCGGCCAGGACACCUGGCCACGGGCUGACGGCUGGCCAGGGCAUGUGUCUGGAACAAAGGCAGGAUGGAGGCGAGGCUGCUGGGGGGCACAAGGCUGCCCACGGGCUCUGGUGGUGGGAGGCUCCUGAGGCCAGGACAGAGGGGCACCCAAGGACUGAGACAUGUCAGUGGAACCCGGGACAAGCCUCGCCCAGGGCUCUGCGGGGAGCUGCGUGCUCCCCCAGUCUCAGCCUUCCCGCCCGUGGACAGGCCCUGGGUCCUGCUCAGCCUCCAGGGCAACUGGGAGCUGCAGCUGACCAGCGUGGGGGUGCGAACUACCCCCCCAUCAGCGCCCCCACCCUGGGGGGACACCGCCCUUACCCCAGCACCCACACGCUCCCUGCGGUCCAUCAGGGGCGGGGAACAGCCCAACUCACAGACGGGACACAGGGCUCAGCCGCCCCAGGAGGCUCA
rnacentral:lncRNA from 1 species